rnacentral:tRNA from 1 species
GCGCUCGUAGCUCAGGUGGAUAGAGCAGGAGCCUUCUAAGCUCUUGGUCGGGAGUUCGAGUCUUCCCGAGCGCGCCA